AUAAAAUGAGGGCUGUUUGUCAUAACUUCCAUACUCUGAGAUCAACUAAGUCAUGCAAUUUUAUUUCCACUUUUGCUAUGUGAGAUUUCUACAUGGUUUCUGGCAAUUUAUGGACUUUGAGGAAAAAAUAUGUAUGUACAUUUUGGAAUGAGGCAACAGCAAUUAACCAAGAGUGGAAUAACAUGUAAAUGGAGUAAUACCUAGCAUACGCACUGAGGGCUUCACAGUAUGAGUGUUAUUUUUUUCUUUAUCUGUGGAUAUGUUUAUCCACUCCUUAUUUUGUUGCUCAGACAGUUACUUCUGUACAUCAUUAAUACAAUCCUCUCCAGUACAUUUUAGGUUUUCACUUAUCUGACAAUUUUAUAUCAGUAGCACAUCAUCCCUGUAUAAAAUACAAAAUCUGGUGUCAGUACUGUUCUGAACUGCUCCAAAUAUCUCUCCUAGCUUUUCUGUCAUAAUGAGUGUUCUCUUCACCCAUGAAUUACCAAUAAGCUCUUGGUGGAUUGUCUGCUGUUGAUGCCCUUUUUUAUUUCUCCUUGGAAUUCUGUGACUGCAAUUAAUGCAGUUGCUAAUUUUCCACAUAAGGGAGCAGUUUACUGAGAUCACAUCAUGAAAAUUAAUUGAUUUUUCUGUAGGUGUAUACAGUUCAAAACAGAUCUUUUUUUCAAAUAGUAUGCAUUAGUUUUGUGCAGGUGAAUAGAUAAAUGUAUGUUUUAUGGCAAAAUGAGUAACUCAUAAAAAUUUAUCAUUUAAACUUUUGCAGAAAUCAACCACUGUAGAAUGUCCAAAAGUUAGAAUUACCUGCUGUUACCAAAACUGUCAAAAUAAGUGGGAGAGUUGUGGUGGCAGGGCAGUUGCUUGCAUUUCUUGGAAAGAAAAGAGAAAUAAACCAAAUUAUGCAGGAAUCACAGAAAACGGAGAUCUGAAGUUUGAAAACUGUCCUUGAAGACUAUUUGGAGUUACAACACUGAAUUUAAUCAUAAUCUUCUCCAAAUUUUGUUCUGUGAUACUUCUUAUAAAUCAGGAAAGUGUUUAAGUAAAAGCAGUGGGAUACCUGUAACAAAAACCAGUAAUCACAGAAAUGUGAAUGAAGUGUGCUUCAAGGAACUUCAAAAAUGGUGUUAUGUCCCCUGGCCUAGACUGUGGCCCCAGCAGCAGGAGGCCUGGCUGGGACACCUCAGCAGUGCAGCAGCAGAGCACGUGCAAGGUGAAAACAGGUAUGUCUGUAGGCAAAGCUGAGGAAGAAGGUCUGUGGUGCCUCCAUUCCCUGCUCCUCUCAGCUACCAUGCUGAGGGACCUGGCACCCCUCUCCCAUCUGCUUGCAUUUGUGAUGCCUCUUUUGUCCAGUACACACUCCAUAACUCCAGAGGGAGAAAUAAUUCCUUCUUCCUAGGUGGUUACAUCUGUCGCUUCCUUCUUGAGAAAAUACAAACAACGAACCAAAUCCGUGAUGCAGUGCAGUGCAGGAUGGCACAACUGCACAGAUGUUUUUUUGGGGUU